GGCUACAGCCAUACUACCCUGAACAUGCCUGAUCUUGUCUGAUCUCGGAAGCUAAGCAGGGUCAGGCCUGGUUAGUACUUGGAUGGGAGACCACCUAGGAAUACCGGGUGCUGUGGGCU